UCAAACUUGGUCAUUUAGAGGAAGUAAAAGUCGUAACAAGGUCUCCGUUGGUGAACCAGCGGAGGGAUCAUUACCGAGUUGUCCUAAACUCCCAACCCUUUGUGAACUUACCACUGUUGCCUCGGCGGGCCGCGCUACCCGGGAGCUACCCUGGAAGCGCGCUCCAGGCCCGCCAGAGGACCUACAAACUCUGUUUUACUGCGAAUCUCUGAAUCGUACAACUGAAAUCAGUUAAAACUUUCAACAACGGAUCUCUUGGUUCUGGCAUCGAUGAAGAACGCAGC
rnacentral:misc_RNA from 1 species